ACGGUGUCUGUCGCUGAUUUACCAUUCAGAACCUCCUGGGCAACAGAAAAAUGAGGCCUGGAGGACACGGGAGCAAGGUGAAGAGAUACUUCUACAGUCUUCUCUAGGUGCUCAGGAUGCUGAAAGCCGCCUCCUCUUCAGAUCUUCAGCGCUGCUAGGCUGGGGGCUAGGUGGGCAGAUGUUGGGCUGUCUGGUACGGAUUCUUUGUGGUCUGUGCCUUCACUUCCAAAACACCCAGCCAAAAAAAAAAGUAAUAAUAAUAAUUAAAAAAAAAAAAGAGAGAGACAGUGAAAUGAAACCUGCAAUGUUAGCCACAAAAAAUUAGCUUUCACUUCACUUACGCAGCAGCAGUCUACAAUAACGGAGGCAAAAAGCACAGGUUCCCUGCUGCAAUCUCUGCCUCUGCUGAAAGGGGAGGAUGUUGGGUCGGGGGCAAUGACAAACUCCUGUUAGAGCUCUCCUGUCAAAGCAUUUAUUCUGCCAUAACAGAGCAACUUCCCAGCUACAGGAGCCGAGGCCCGCUCAGGAUCAACAGCACGGGAAUGCGGGAGAGCAGGAGGAAGAGGAGAGGGCCAGAAGGAAGAAAGAAUCAGUGCUGGCUACUCCGGUUGCACGCUCCUGACUGCUUCUUCACCUCAACAGUCGUGUGUGAACAAUUGACUCCAGAGACAUCAGCAGUCCCCCAGGAGAAGCCCUGGAAGGUGACUCAGGUGGGACCUUAACACCUCAAAACUAAAGGGCUCCUGCAGACUUGGCAGAGGUCUUUGUGCCUUGCAAAUCCACAAAGCUCAGAGUUCCUCUGGGAGGAAUGACACUGGGAAGAUGUGAGAUGAGAAUAUUAACACCCCAGGGUUACCAAAUAAAAAAAAAAAUUGAUUUUUAAUAACUCUAACCAUCUCUUCAGCUUUCAUUAGUCUCCUCUUUGGCUUUAUAGUGCUGGGCAUGAAGAAUAUGAGGAUUUGAAGAAUUAACUGAGUUAAUGAGGGCUGAUUAUUAAUGUUCAGAGCUCAAUAAAAAAGGGAGAGAGAGAAAUAAAACACACAAAAAAAUGAGCUGAAAAUAAGGGUAAUCUUUCAUUCCCCCCAAAUGAGAAACAUUGAAUUAUUGCUAUACUUAAAACUGAAGCACCCA
rnacentral:lncRNA from 1 species